rnacentral:rRNA from 1 species
AGCAGCCGCGGUAAUUCCAGCUCCAAUAGCGUAUAUUAAAGUUGUUGCAGUUAAAAAGCUCGUAGUUGAAUUUCGGGGUCAAUAAGUUGGUCAUGCCAAUGGUAUGCACUGGCUUUAUUGAUUCCUACCUCUUGACGAACUGUGAUGCCAUUAAUUUGGUGUUGCAAGGAAUCAGGACUGUUACCUUGAAAAAUUAGAGUGUUUAAAGCAAGCUUACGCUUGAAUACAUUAGCAUGGAAUAAUGAAAUAGGACGUUUGAUCCUAUUUUGUUGGUUUUUAGGAUCGACGUAAUGAUUAAUAGGGAUAGUUGGGGGCAUUAGUAUUCAAUUGUCAGAGGUGAAAUUCUU